AAUUCUCCCAACAGUAUUUCCACCAACUUCUUCCUGGAUGAAGAAGCCUUUUAAGGUACUCCUGGCAACAAAAUGAGAUGCACGAAAAUCGUUUGGUUGGAUAGAUUGGUGUAAGUAUAGAUUAUUUCCAUGGGAGAGAUUCAUAAAGAUGAAAUCAAUCACCAUACAAAUUUUUAUGAAUCUUUAUAAUACAUAGUGCCAAAUUAAGAAAGCUUCUAAAUAAACAUGAUUAUUUUAUCGCAUAAGAAGAGGAAUUGCAAUAUUAAAACUAUUGAUUUUGAAGAUUUAAAAAUUUCUAUUGGAUGUAGUCUUCUCUUUGCAAAAAAGCAGCACCUUAUUUUCCUAAGCAAAACAAUAAAAAAUGAAACAAACACACCACCCCAAAGUCCUUUCCCUAAACAGAAUACGC
rnacentral:lncRNA from 1 species